CCUACGGGUGGCAGCAGUGAGGAAUAUUGGUCAAUGGGCGGGAGCCUGAACCAGCCAAGCCGCGUGAGGGAAGAAGGUACAGCGUAUCGUAAACCUCUUUUGUCAGGGAACAAAGGCGGGGACUAGUCCCCGGAUGAGGGUACCUGAAGAAAAAGAAUCGGCUAACUCCGUGCCAGCAGCCGCGGUAAUCCGGAGGAUGCGAGCGUUAUCCGGAUUUAUUGGGUUAAAAGGGAGCGCAGGCGGCCUGUUAGGUCAGCGGUAAAAGCCCGGGGCUCAACCCCGGCGAGCUGUUGAAACUGGCGGGCUGGAGUUGGAGAGAGGGAGGCGGAAUGCGAGGGGUAGCGGUGAAAUGCUGAGAUAUCGGGCAGAACCCCGAUUGCGAAGGCAGCGUACCGGCUCCACACUGACGCUGAGGCACGAAAGCGUGGGUAUCGAACAGGAUUAGAUACCCGAGUAGUC
rnacentral:rRNA from 1 species